rnacentral:tRNA from 1 species
GCGCCUGUAGCUUAAUUGGAUAGAGCAUCGGUCUACGGAACCGAAGGUUGCAGGUUCGAGUCCUGCCAGGCGCG